AUUGAACGCUGGCGGCAGGCCUAACACAUGCAAGUCGAACGAGUGGCGGACGGGUGCGUAAUGUCUGGGAAACUGCCCGAUGGCGGGGGAUAACUAAUGGAACAGGUAGCUAAUACCGCAUACCAUCGGAUGUGCCCAGAUGGGAUUAGCUAGUAGGUGUGGUAACGGCUCACCUAGGCGACGAUCCCUAGCUGGUCUGAGAGGAUGACCAGCCACACUGGAACUGAGACACGGUCCAGACUCCGACGGGAGGCAGCAUUGGGGAAUAUUGCACAAUGGGCGCAAGCCUGAUGCAGCCAUGCCGCGUGUAUGAAGAAGGCCUUCGGGUGGUAAAGUACUUUCAGCGAGGAGGCGUUACUCGCAGAAGAAGCACCGGCUAACUCCGUGCCAGCAGCCGCGGUAAUUC
rnacentral:rRNA from 1 species